GACAGAGGUGCCAAGCGUUAGGCGGAAUCACUGGGCUUAAAGGGUGUGUAGGCGGGUCUUUAAGUCAGUGGUGAAAUCUCCGAGCUCAACUUGGAAACUGCCAUUGAUACUAUUGAUCUUGAAUUUUGUUGAGGUAGGCGGAAUAAGUCAUGUAGCGGUGAAAUGCAUAGAUAUGACGUAGAACACCAAUUGCGAAGGCAGCUUGCUAAACAAAUAUUGACGCUGAGGCACGAAAGCGUGGGGAUCAAACAGG
rnacentral:rRNA from 1 species